CGGAAAUAAACACUUAACACGGCCUUUGUCGUUUCUCUUUCAAACAUAAUGUACUUACACAUUUUCUUUGUUUUAUAGGAUAACUUUGAUAUAAACUCUGAAGAUGCAUGAGGCCACGAGCUAUAUAGACAAAUGCGAAAUGGUAGUCAACAGUUACCCGGACCAUGUGCGUAAGCACGUUGUGGAGAUUCUAAAGACCGG
rnacentral:lncRNA from 1 species